rnacentral:lncRNA from 12 species
AGCUCAUGGAGUUCAGUCUCCCUUGACAGAGAAUACAGCAGAGAAGGAAUUUGGAGGGGCAAAUGAUGAGUAGCCAGCAUGUCAUACUAAUAAUGCUUGUGCCUCCUCUGCUCCAGAAGACAGUGUCUCGACUCUUCAGAAGUUCCUAUGUCCGGAUGGAGGGACAGAUGUCAACAGGUGGCUGAAUCAGAGCAAUGUGGACAGUUGAUUUCCAAGCUGGCACCACAGGAGAGCUGCCUCACACCAUAAAUACUCAUCAUGCUGCAAAUAUUUACCAGGUGCCUACUGUGUGCCAUCUCUGUGGACAUAGGCUUAUGUGUUCUUGCAAGAGUGGUCACCCCAGAAUUGGAGACUGUGGCUGUCAAGGGUGAAGCAGGCAAGAGGACAAAAUGGCAUGGGGAGAGCUGAAACCAGAUCACUUUCCAGGUUGCACCAGGUAAAAGGUAAAAGUAGGGUCUUGAUGAUGAAGACAGAUAAGAAUUUCUCUGUCGACCUCAUGCGAUCUAUGAAAAUGCCAGCCCCUCUCAAAGUCCUCGCGAUCAUGUCUGUUCUCUUCUUGGAGACCCAAGGCAGAUGCCAACUCUGCUGCUCUGGUUUUCCUGUGUCGAGGGAUGCCAACAGCAGCAGCUCUACUUCUAGUUCACUGGCUACUCCUGCCAUCUGCCGUCUGCGCCGUGUCCCGCCAACCAGCACCUGCAUCUGGGGGCUGUCUCCUCCCAGGGCAACUGAAUCUGAUCAAGAGGAUCGGGCUUAUCUGCAGCAGGUACAAAUGAAAUCUGCCAGUGGUAGCUGGAUCUAAAGAUGGCAGUUUGAUCACUUGCUGACUGACUUCUCCUUCUGGCUGUUGGUGUGAAGAAAUGGUGUGGGCAAUUGAUGCAUUUUUGUCACUUUCCAUCUGUUUACCCCCCUUCCCGUCUCCAUUGGUAUUUUUGGAAGAAUGGUUAAGUAUGCCAACCUUUUAAAAAAAGUAAUUAUUAAAUCUUUCUUGUCAUCAAGAUGCAGUGGGGUUGUGUGUCAUUCGUAACUCUUGGCAGCAUUUAAAUCUGGAUUUUAGAAACAAGAUGAAUUUUCCUCGUGCC